rnacentral:rRNA from 1 species
UACGGAGGGUGCGAGCGUUGUCCGGAAUCACUGGGCGUAAAGGGCGCGUAGGUGGCGCGGGAAGUCAACGGUGAAAGUUCGGGGCUCAACCCUGAAUCGGCCGUCGAUACUCCCGGGCUCGAGCACUGUAGAGGCAGAUGGAAUUCCGGGUGUAGCGGUGGAAUGCGUAGAGAUCCGGAAGAACACCGGUGGCGAAGGCGGUCUGCUGGGCAGUUGCUGACGCUGAGGAGCGAAAGCGUGGGGAGCGAACAGG